rnacentral:rRNA from 1 species
CCUACGGGAGGCAGCAGUGAGGAAUAUUGGUCAAUGGACGCAAGUCUGAACCAGCCAUGCCGCGUGCAGUCUUCCUUCUCUCUGCUUUUUCCCCUGCUUUUGUACGAGGGUAAACCCCGAUACGUGUAUAGGGUUGAAAGUAUCGUACGAAUAAGGAUAGGCUAACCCCGUGCCAGCAGCCGCGGUAAUACGGAGGAUCCGCGCGUUAUCCGGAUUUAUUGGGUUUAACGGGUGCGUAGGCGGUUUGAUAAGUUAGAGGUGAAAUGUCGGGGCUCAACCCCGAAACUGCCUCUAAUACUGUUGGACUAGAGAAUAGUUGCGGUAGGCGGAAUGUAAGGUGUAGCAGUGAAAUGCUUAGAGAUCAUACAGAACACCGAUGGCGAAGGCAGCUUACCAAACUAUAUCUGACGUUGAGGCACGAAAGCGUGGGUAGCAAACAGGAUUAGAUACCCCAGUAGUC